rnacentral:rRNA from 1 species
AAGAGACAGCAGUAGCCGCGGUAAUACGAAGGGGGCUAGCGUUGCUCGGAAUUACUGGGCGUAAAGGGCGCGUAGGCGGACAGUUCAGUCGGGGGUGAAAGCCCGGGGCUCAACCUCGGAAUUGCCUUCGAUACUGGCUGUCUUGAGUAUGAGAGAGGUGUGUGGAACUCCGAGUGUAGAGGUGAAAUUCGUAGAUAUUCGGAAGAACACCAGUGGCGAAGGCGACACACUGGCUCAUUACUGACGCUGAGGCGCGAAAGCGUGGGGAGCAAACAGGAUUAGAUACCCCAGUAGUCCCUGUCUCUUAUAA